UACGUAGGGUGCAAGCGUUUAAUCGGAAUUACUGGGCGUAAAGCGUGCGCAGGCGGUUAUGUAAGACAGGUGUGAAAAUCCCCCGGGCUUAACCCUGGGAACUGCAUUUUGUGACUGCAUAGCUAGAGUACGGUAGAGGGGGGAUGGAAAUUCCGCGUGUAGCAGUGAAAUGCGUAGAUAUGCGGAGGAACACCGAUGGCGAAGGCGGCCACCUGGACGGUCACUGACGCUGAGACGCGAAAGCGUGGGGAGCAAACAGG
rnacentral:rRNA from 1 species